rnacentral:rRNA from 1 species
UGGUGGAGUGAUUUGUCUGGUUAAUUCCGUUAACGAACGAGACCUCGACCUACUAAAUAGUUCGACGAAUUCUUCGGAAUUCGUACGUAACUUCUUAGAGGGACUAUCGGUGGUUAGCCGAUGGAAGUUCGAGGCAAUAACA